ACACGCGAAGACUAGCCGCGAGAGGACUGUGCUAGUGAGGUGGCCGCCGCGGGGACCCAGGCGGGGGUGAGCUUAGAGGCAGAAGGCCACGAUAAUAGGCAUGACCCCCUGGACUAGGAUUUCCGGAGUGGUCAUAAGAUGCCAAGAGUUCAAGAGGACUGAAGGAGGAUGUCAAGCACACCAGAUACGAGCAGAGCUUGCCCUUUAGCCCCGACGUCAUAAAAGCGGACCUGGUGACCCGAAGGGCCGGACCUGGCAGUCCAAGGAGACCGGAAGUAACCAGCUGCUGGUGGUGUUGGUUCAGCCGCUCAGUGAUAUCAUUUGCAAGAUGACUGCCCAGCUUCAGCCAUCCCAUCCUUGUCCAAGGCAGGAGGAGCAAGAGAUUUGGGAAGCCUUCCGGAAAUCAGCGAAGGCGCUCGCUGCAUCUUGGUGAAAUAGAACCUGUGUGAUGGGAGAGAGAAUCUCCACUGAGAAGAGUUCCUGCGAGGAGAGGAAAAGCUGUAAGGAACCAGAGACUGCCAGCCACUUAGGGGCAAGCAUAAUCUAGACCCUCUGAGGUAUUCUGACCCUCAGAGUAAGUGGGGGGAUGAGGAUAACACAAACUCUAGAACAGGGUACCCCAGGCAGACAGAGAACUUGGGGGUUGUGGGCAGACUUGAAGGUCUUCCGAGUUUAUAAAAGGGUCUUUAUAUGUGUAGAGUUCAGCAUUUUUCCAUAAGCAUAUAUCACCUCAGCCAAAUGGGAAGUCUUCCCCAGCCUAAUGUGAUUUUGCCCUGUUCUCUGUGAAUGAGGGACUAGGGACACAUUGAAUGAAAAACAGAUCUCUAGUCGAGGAUCUAGGAGCAAUGAAGGAAGCACACUUAAAAUUUAUAUUUUAAGUAUUAAAACAUAAAUCAUUAAA